UCGCAUGGCAAUCGGAUUGAACGCGCAACAUUUCCCAUACAAUCCGCAGUGUUGCGUUUUCUUCGCGCCAACUUUGCCUGUAUUUUCAAUGAGCCAAACGAUUUUACCCCCUCCUACACGCGAUGUAUCCUAAAGCACGCUUGUCGCGGCAACGUUCACCACAUACACACACGCAGCUCCACACUCAGGGUACGACAUCUUCCCUGUUGCUGUUCUGGACUCAGACAAAAUUUGUGUUUCUACACUUAUUGUUCAAAAAAGUAGUAGCUCCUAGGAUCUGAAUUUACAAACAAAUAUCAAAAUAUUAUGUUCUGCUAAUGAUAUUGCACUGAAUUCAAUUGCACUACAUUAAGUUUUGACAUAUCUUUCGUAAAAGUUCAUCAGAGUAUGAAAAUGUCGAUACAAUUUGUCAUGAAUAACUUCAAUUUCAAGAUUUUCGCGCAUAAAAUUAUGACGCACGCUGUGUGUGUGCGGCGGCGUAAUUCGCUUCUCGUAUAGCCGUCUCGCUUCUUCUUGUGUGUGCUUUACCGUUGCUCAUCGCUUCAAGAACAUUGCUGCUCACACACACGUCAGUCUGUGGAAAACAAUUGGAGGGGGAGGAUGUGUCGGUUUGCUCCAGAAAUCGUGCGUGAUUUUGGUGUUCUGGAUUUGGUUCCAUGCCUGUUUGUUUUGGUGAAUUUGAAAAGGUAAGACUCAUAGACCGAUGUAAAAGUGUGAGAGUAAAGUGAUGUUGAUGGUGACUGAUGCUUUUAUUUGAUUCUUUUCCUGCUUUCAUCCACUGAUGGUGUCGAGCAUCGCCGAGGAUGUGAUCGAAUGCGGAAUAUUCGAAACGAGGAGAUUCAUUCCGGAUUUUGUUUGCAAUAAGCGCUGAACUCAUCCUCCAGCUUACAGGACGGCAAAGGUACACGCACAAACGUGCACACAUCAGCCUUCUCGGAGAACGAGAACACGGGAGGGGGAGACCGGCAACGUAUAGAACCUUUACGCUCCCUCGUGCGUUCGUGCGUGCGUGCGCGCGCGCGUCUAUGUGUGUGUAUGUGUGUGCAUGCCUGCGUGCGUGGCUGUGUGUGUUUUUGCCGCUUCGCAUAACGAGAUCCUACGGGAUCACCUUGCGAAAAACACCAAGAGAGGGGGAGGGGUAGGUAUGUGUGUAUGUGUGUGUGUAUGUGUGCUUGCAUGCGUGCAUGGCUGUGUAUGUGUGUGUAUGUGUGCUUUUGCUGUUGGGCGAUCUCCUACGGAAUCACCUUGCGAAAACACGUGGGGGGGGGGGGGGGGGGAGGAGUGAGGUGUGUGUGUGCUUGCCUGCGUGCUUUGUGUGUGUGUUUUUGCGUUCACGUUCUACGGGAUCACUUUGCGAAAAACACCAAGGGGAGGAGGAGGAGGUGUGUGUGUGUGUGUGUGUAUGUUUUUUUUUUUCUUUGCCGAUUCGCACUCUCUCGCGGAUCUAGUUGUGUGCGUUAGUUUUUUUUUUAGUUUCUUCGAAAAAUACCUGGGGGAGGAUGUGUGUAUGAAAGAAUGUACUUCAGAAAAGAAAGUGAAAAAUAAAAAACGAAUAUGAAAUAUGUUAAACGAA